CAUACACACACAUAUGACAAAAACCAUGACCCUGAUAAAAAAAGCAAAUAGCAAGGUCAGUCAAAUCCAAAGUUGAAAAGGUAUUUCAACUGCAAUAUUUUUCUCCCUCUCAUCCACCAGCCAAGAUGAGUUAGUUAUCAGAUCCCAAGCAAGUUACGCAGUGCAACCUAAAUCCAUCAGAUAAAAAGAAGGGAGUAUUUCAAACUAGAAAGGAUAAUGGAUUAGACUGACAUAGACCAAAACAACUACAUACCGUGACGUGACAUUUAUAAAAUAGCCUCUUUCCAACCUGGAAGAAGGAAAAAAACAUUAACAUCACACAGACUGCACACUAAAUUCACCCCUCAAAUUGAAUCCUUUUAUUAUUCCUAGCAAGGCAAUCUGCAGGUGGUAAACCUACAACCAAGGAGCAACAAGUGACUCUUGGAAAAGUAAGGUGAA
rnacentral:lncRNA from 1 species